GACGAACGCUGGCGGCGUGCCUAAUACAUGCAAGUCGAACGCAUUUUCUUUCACCGUAGCUUGCUACACCGAAAGAAAAUGAGUGGCGAACGGGUGAGUAACACGUGGGUAACCUGCCCAUCAGCGGGGGAUAACACUUGGAAACAGGUGCUAAUACCGCAUAAUUCCAUUUACCGCAUGGUAAAUGGAUGAAAGGCGCUUUUGCGUCACUGAUGGAUGGACCCGCGGUGCAUUAGCUAGUUGGUGGGGUAACGGCCUACCAAGGCUGCGAUGCAUAGCCGACCUGAGAGGGUGAUCGGCCACACUGGGACUGAGACACGGCCCAGACUCCUACGGGAGGCAGCAGUAGGGAAUCUUCGGCAAUGGACGCAAGCCUGACCGAGCAACGCCGCGUGAUUGAAGAAGGUUUUCGGAUCGUAAAACUCUGUUGUUAGAGAAGAACAAGGAUGAGAGUGGAAAGUUCAUCCCUUGACGGUAUCUAACCAGAAAGCCACGGCUAACUACGUG
rnacentral:rRNA from 1 species